rnacentral:rRNA from 1 species
AAUCAACGCUGGCGGCGUGCCUAACACAUGCAAGUCGAACGGGAAAGUGGAGCAAUCCAUGAGUAUAGUGGCGACCGGGUGAGUAACACGUGACUAACCUACCUUCAAGUGGGGGAUAACCUCGGGAAACCGGGGCGUAAUACCGCAUAAAAUCUCUGUUAUGAGAAAGCAGGGAUCAAAGGAGCAAUUCGCUGGAAGAGGGGGUCGCGGCUGAUUAGCUAGUUGGUGGGGUAAUGGCCCACCAAGGCUUUGAUCGGUAGCCGGCCUGAGAGGGCGCACGGCCACACUGGAACUGAAACACGGUCCAGACUCCUACGGGAGGCAGCAGUGGGGAAUUUUGCGCAAUGGGGGAAACCCUGACGCAGCAACGCCGCGUGGAGGAUGAAGUCCCUUGGGACGUAAACUCCUUUCGACCGGGAAGAUUAUGACGGUACC